CACGGAACAGGCCCUUCUGGUCAAAUGGGCAGUGCCGCCCAGCAAUCAGGACUAAUGAACCUACUAACUGGUACAUCUUUGGACUGUGGGAGGAAACGCACGCUGUCACGAAGAGAACGUAUGAAUUGCCUACAGACGGCACCGGAAUUCAGUUCUGAACCUUGAUGCCCCUGCUCACCACUGCGCUGUGCUUAUUCCUGGUGCCCUUUCUAAAGAGCUCCCCUUACCCCAAUCUCAAAAGAAAGUAUGUGUGACAUCCCAUGUAUACGUGUGGAGCCACGAUGACACAGUAUUGGUCUGAAUCACGAACUAUGCGUCUGUGAUGUCCGUGCUCGAAUGGCAAACUUGUGAGACGUCCUCCACGCGCAAGACAGGAUUGCACGGCAACUCGUGUGUGCAAUUUCAACAGUCGGCAAUCAGAGAUCGGGAGCGAGAGAAGACUUCUACAUCACCAACUUCAGUGUCUCUCCAGUGACUUUGUACAGUCACAACAUUUGAGGGCUCAUCUGGAAGGCGUCUGGAAGGCAAAAUACCCAUUGUGUGGCCAGGUAUCUCAGCAGUCCAAGUGGGCACGAGGAGGAACUUUUGGAUUUCUGCUGAGUUGGAGAGAGAGAGCACCGAGUAGCUCGUAAGUCGCUAUGGUGACUGAGGGUGGCGUUAUUUGAUGGACAAUCCACGUUAUGAUUUUUUGGCAGCAUCUUAUACUUCCCAAGGACGUGGCUUGCUAGUGCAUUCUUACACAGAGGAGGAGUUAUUUGAGAGACAGUUGGUACUCAGUACGGUGAGAUAAAUAGGUCAGAUGAUAGACUUCAGGCACAUGUUUUUGGACACUGAAUGAGCUUUGUUGUGCCCACAAAAAAAGUGGGUUUUUGGAGGAUCAAUCAGUGACUCUUGCAGUGAGAAAAGGGAUUGACCGAUGGGGAGUUGUCCAUGUGUCCACCCUUGCCUGGGUUGAUGGCUGCACCAGAAAAAAACGGUUCCCUUUAUUGGGUCACAGUCGGUGACUUUUAAAGGAUUUCGGAGGACAACGGGAAGAUCGACGGCGUCAGCUCACCUGAAAACUCAAGUUUCUCCCUCUCUCUCUCUCCAUCACUACUCAACUCAAUACCACAAACUGAACUGAACUUUACUCACCAUCAUAAGACUAUCCAUUUACCCCUAGACUUGAAGAAGCUUGCUUUUCCUGUAUGUUCCACACUUACUGAUAUACUUACUUAUAUA